GACAGAGGAUGCAAGCGUUAUCCGGAAUGAUUGGGUUUAAAGGGAGCGUAGGCGGUCUUAUAAGUCAGUGGUGAAAUCUCGUUGCUUAACAACGACCGUGCCAUUGAUACUGUAGGACUUGAGUACAGUUGCCGUUGGCGGAAUGUGUCAUGUAGCGGUGAAAUGCAUAGAUAUGACACAGAACACCGAUUGCGAAGGCAGCUGACGAAACUGUAACUGACGCUGAGGCUCGAAAGCGUGGGGAUCAAACAGG
rnacentral:rRNA from 1 species